rnacentral:rRNA from 1 species
AUUGAACGCUGGCGGCAUGCCUUACACAUGCAAGUCGAACGGUAACAGGUCUUCGGAUGCUGACGAGUGGCGAACGGGUGAGUAAUGCAUCGGAACGUGCUCAGUCGUGGGGGAUAGCCCGGCGAAAGCAGGAUUAAUAUCGCAUACGACCUGAGGGUGAAAGAGGGGGAUCGCAAGACGUCACGCUAUUGGAGCGGCCGAUGUCAGAUUAGCUAGUUGGUGGGGUAAAGGCCGACCAAGGCAACGAUCUGUAGUUGGUCUGAGAGGACGACCAGCCACACUGGAACUGAGACACGGCCCAGACUCCUACGGGAGGCAGCAGUGGGGAAUUUUGGACAAUGGGCGCAAGCCUGAUCCAGCAAUGCCGCGUGCAGGAAGAAGGCCUUCGGGUUGUAAACUUCUUUUGUCAGGGAAGAAAUCUUCUGUUUUAAUACCUCGGGAGGAUGACGGUACCUGAAGAAUAAGCACCGGCUAACUACGUGCCAGCAGCCGCCGUAAAAC